GGAGAGGUGUCUGAGUGGUUUAAAGAGCACGCUUGGAAAGCGUGUGUGCGCCGCAAAGCGUACCGAGGGUUCGAAUCCCUCUCUCUCCGCCA
rnacentral:tRNA from 1 species